rnacentral:rRNA from 1 species
GACGAACGCUGGCGGCGUGCCUAAUACAUGCAAGUAGAACGCACAGUUUAUACCGUAGCUUGCUACACCAUAAACUGUGAGUUGCGAACGGGUGAGUAACGCGUAGGUAACCUGCCUGGUAGCGGGGGAUAACUAUUGGAAACGAUAGCUAAUACCGCAUAAUAUUAAUUAUUGCAUGAUAAUUGAUUGAAAGAUGCAAUUGCAUCACUACCAGAUGGACCUGCGUUGUAUUAGCUAGUAGGUGAGGUAACGGCUCACCUAGGCGACGAUACAUAGCCGACCUGAGAGGGUGAUCGGCCACACUGGGACUGAGACACGGCCCAGACUCCUACGGGAGGCAGCAGUAGGGAAUCUUCGGCAAUGGACGAAAGUCUGACCGAGCAACGCCGCGUGAGUGAAGAAGGUUUUCGGAUCGUAAAGCUCUGUUGUAAGAGAAGAACGGGUGUGAGAGUGGAAAGUGCACACUGUGACGGUAUCUUACCAGAAAGGGACGGCUAACUACGU